UCUAUAUUGCCUUGUGUUCAGAGUCCGACAGCGCUGCUGCUGCUCCUCCUCCAUCAAAGAGGAAAAGGAAGCACAGGUGGACGCCAAGCAGGGUUACCAUUUGCCGCCACAAGUCUCAACUGAGGCAGGACACCAGGGUGUUAAAGGAGCAAAAGGGGAAGCCCCAAUGCCAGCCGGGGGACCCCUGCCCCACGUGCGCCCAACCCAGGACCCUGGACACGGGGCACGCGCUCUACAAGAGCAGUGCGUACUGCGAGUUGGAGGCGGGCCCUGGGGGCCUCACCGCUCGUGAGUGGCUCAUCAGCCAACAGGCCCCGGAGGACGCCGGGAAGGUGCCCAGGACCACCCUGUGGAACAUCGCCCGCAGGAAGGAGGAGCAGGUCGGCGGCUCUUCCCCUCGACGCAAAACGCACAAGCUGCGGAUCUGCCAGCGGUGCCUCCAGCCGGCGCAGAAGGACUUUGGCCACAGCCGGUUCGAUGGGGAGAGCUUCUGCUCCCUCUACGCCGGCAAAGCCGUAGCGAAAGCCAAAGAGGAAGCAGAGGAAGCAGCGGGAGGAGAGGAGGGCGAAGGGCCCGGCGUCAGAGCUUGGAGAGGAACACAGCCCCGGCAGACUGUGAGGCUGCUCCUCCCCGGGAACCCCCCUCCUGUGUUGUGCUUGUUUUUAAUUUAAUAAAUCAGUUUGUAUUACACACGCUUGUCC
rnacentral:lncRNA from 1 species